AAUUGGGUUUAUGCUAGAGUU
rnacentral:miRNA from 1 species